AGGACGAACGCUGGCGGCGUGCUUAACACAUGCAAGUCGAGCGGAAAGGCUCCUUUCGGGGGGUACUCGAGCGGCGAACGGGUGAGUAACACGUGAGUAACCUGCCCUGGACUUUGGGAUAACCCUCGGAAACGGGGGCUAAUACCGGAUAUGACACGCGGAUGCAUGUUUGUGUGUGGAAAGAUUUUUUGGUCUGGGAUGGGCUCGCGGCCUAUCAGCUUGUUGGUGGGGUGAUGGCCUACCAAGGCGACGACGGGUA
rnacentral:rRNA from 1 species